UACGUAGGGUGCGAGCGUUGUCCGGAAUUAUUGGGCGUAAAGGGCUCGUAGGCGGUUUGUCGCGUCGGGAGUGAAAACCUCGGGCUUAACUCGGGGCUUGCUUUCGAUACGGGCAGACUGGAGGUAUGCAGGGGAGAACGGAAUUCCUGGUGUAGCGGUGAAAUGCGCAGAUAUCAGGAGGAACACCGGUGGCGAAGGCGGUUCUCUGGGCAUUACCUGACGCUGAGGAGCGAAAGCGUGGGGAGCGAACAGG
rnacentral:rRNA from 1 species